rnacentral:rRNA from 1 species
UACGUAGGGAGCAAGCGUUGUCCGGAAUCAUUGGGCGUAAAGAGCGCGUAGGUGGCCACAUAAGUCCGUUGUGAAAGUCAAAGGCUCAACCUUUGAAAGCCGAUGGAUACUGUGUGGCUAGAGUACGGAAGAGGCGAGUGGAAUUCCUGGUGUAGCGGUGGAAUGCGCAGAUAUCAGGAGGAACACCAAUAGCGAAGGCAACUCGCUGGGACGUUACUGACACUGAGGCGCGAAAGCGUGGGGAGCGAACAGG